UUCUGUUUUAAACCCUUAUGGUUGUAGAGGAUUGUAAAUCAUCUUGCCAAUUUUAUAUUCCGUGUUGAGAUACGUCAGAUGAAAAAUAUAAUGGUCUUGUUAUUGGCUGUAGCUUCAUUUUGUCUGUCGCGUUGAGAUACCCUUUCUGUUUGGCUAUCAAAACUACAGUAUGGAGUGCAGUUGAUAUUGGGUGCUUAAAAGUGAAUAUUUAUCAUUUGUGAAUCAUGUGAUUAUUUCUGAUGGGUGAAAUACCAUUAGUUAUGGAGCCGCCUUGGAUUGUAGAUUAUGUAUACUCCAUGCUACAUCGUGGCAUAUAUUGCUAGGGUGGCGUAAGAUCCUUGACCUUUCUUCCACAACCCAAAGACCCUAAACCAUAAAUCCUUGAGCCAAAAUCUUGAGUUGCAGGUCAUCGAGAGUUCAAUAUACUGGGCCUCAUGCACAAGUAGGGGGCUUUCAUUUCUCUUGCAUGCCCCUUCAUUACUCAUUCAUUCAUAUCAAAGGAAGCUUCGUCGGGAAGGGAUAGGAAUGGCGCAUUGGUUUGAUUGUAUACAGUUGGUGUUCAGAGGUUAUGCCUCUUAUGGAAAUUUCUGAAUAUAAUUGAAUGUACUUGUCAAAACAAAAAAAAGCAAUUCCAAUCGUGCGCCUAUUUUGGCACUUUUUAAGCAAAAUUUGCCAAAAAAAUUGCCCUCCCCCCCCUCCCCUCUGUUGAAGUUCAGCAACGACAAACAGGCUUUGAGAAUGAUUUAUAAAUUUUAGGGUAAAUUACACUGAUGUCCCCUGAGGUUUGGAGAAAAUACAAAAAGCCUAACAGUUUGGCAUAAAUACAAUGGGCUCCCCUCAGGUUUUAAUUUACAUAACACUUAACCCACUUUUUCAUGAAUAAUUCGUUGGUCAUAUUGAUGGGAAAAUGAUGUUAUCUCCUUUAUAUUGAAAUGCAUAUUUUUCCUUCUUUAUUUUUUGUGUUUGUGUUUUCACACUAUUUGUAUUAGUUUGAUCUUUUUAACAUUGCUAAAAGGGGGAGUCAGUAUAAUUAAGUCAAAAUUGUGGGGCUACUGUAAUUCCUCCAAAUUUCAAGGGAGGUUAGUGUAAUUUACCCUAAAUUUUAUUUGUGUUUUUUAUCUUGAAUUUUCUCUGUAUUCACAUCUAGAUCUUUCUUUUUCCAUGUAUGGCAAAACAUCUACUGGAAAAUGACGAGAAAAAAGUAACAGUA